AUUGAACGCUGGCGGCAUGCCUUACACAUGCAAGUCGAACGGCAGCACGGGUGCUUGCCCCUGGUGGCGAGUGGCGAACGGGUGAGUAAUACAUCGGAACAUGUCCUGUAGUGGGGGAUAGCCCGGCGAAGGCCGGAUUAAUACAGCCUACUAACAACGUAGAAAAGAGGGGGCCCUAGGGGCCCCGGGCUAUGGGGUUGGCUGAUGGCGUAUUAGCUAGUUGGUGGGGAAACGGCCUACCAAGGGGACGAUCAGUAGCUGGUCUGAGAGGACGACCAGCCACACUGGGACUGAGACACGGCCCAGACUCCUACGGGAGGCAGCAGUGGGGAAUUUUGGACAAUGGGCGAAAGCCUGAUCCAGCAAUGCCGCGUGUGUGAAGAAGGCCUUCGGGUUGUAAAGCACUUUUGUCCGGAAAGAAAUCCUUGGCCCUAAUACGGUCGGGGGAUGACGGUACCGGAAGAAUAAGCACCGGCUAACUACGUG
rnacentral:rRNA from 1 species